AUCUCCCUCUCCUCAGAUGUGCUCCUUCAUCUCUCCUGAUAGAGUUUGACUCUGAAUCAUCAUCAUGUCUUCAAACAUGAGCCUCAAGACGAUGAAACGGACCGUUGAGCAGCUCAAACUCGAAGCCAGCAUGGAGAGAAUCAAAGUUUCUCAAGCAGCUGCGGAUCUACUGCAGUACUGCCUCCAGAACGCCGGUGAAGACGCGCUCCUGUUCGGCGCCCCAAUCAGGUGUAAGCUGGUCAGAGUGCCGUGCUCAUGCACCCUGCUCUAGAAAGAAGGAGAGAGGAGGCUGAUCAAUGCAACAGCAUGACAUGAAACAUCAUGAGAUACACUGUGCAAAUCUGAGAAAACUGAUGCCUUAAAUUUAGUGGAUUUAGUGUGUAUUUGUCUUAUGUGUUAAAAUCUUUUUAUUAUAUGCCACAGAAUUAUAUGAAAUUGAAACAUUGAUUUUAUGAAUUUUAGUUCAAUUUAAAACAUCAGUUUUCUAUAUGUGAUUCUCUGUUAAAGUGUAAUGUAUUUCUGUGAUGUGCAGCUGUAUUUUCAGCAUCAUUCCUCCAGUCUUCAGUGUCCUUACUU